AAGGCAAUCUUCUUAGUGACUGUGAGAUUAAGUUUAAUGCAGCAUCGACGUCAGGAGGGCGUAAAGUAAUCUCGCCAUUAUUUUCCUAUUUCAGGACACUAGCUAACGGUUUCGCUAACUCCACUAGCUAGCUUGCCAACAUAGCCACUCCAACUAGCCUGCUUAUGGUUUGUCUGCUAAAUGGAUAAUACACUAGCAAGGUCUAUCACAGAUUACAUCAUCAAGAGGAGGUGGAAAGGAAUCCAACUGGUGGAAUAUUCAGGAUCUAAAGCCCACCGACCCACUGAGCUAACAUCAUCAUAACUGACAGUACGACAGCUCCUCACCUCCCAAGUCUCACAGCGCCCCCAGCAGGCAUCGGUGGUGAUGUGCAGGCCCUUGCAGCCGGGCUUCUUGGCCAGGAAGGUGAACU